rnacentral:rRNA from 1 species
CCUACGGGAGGCAGCAGUGGGGGAUAUUGCACAAUGGGGGAAACCCUGAUGCAGCGACGCCGCGUGGGUGAAGAAGCGCCUCGGCGCGUAAAGCCCUGUCAGCAGGGAAGAAAAUGACGGGACCUGAAGAAGAAGCCCCGGCUAACUACGUGCCAGCAGCCGCGGUAAUACGUAGGGGGCAAGCGUUAUCCGGAUUUACUGGGUGUAAAGGGGUCGCAGCCGGCGAUGCAAGCCAGGAGUGAAAGCCCGGGGCCCAACCCCGGGACUGCUCUUGAAACUGCGUGGCUAGAGUGCAGGAGGGGCAGGCGGAAUGCCUGGUGUAGCGGUGAAAUGCGUAGAUAUCAGGCGGAACACCGGUGGCGAAGGCGGCCUGCUGGACUGCAACUGACGUUGAGGCCCGAAAGCGUGGGGAGCAAACAGGAUUAGAUACCCGUGUAGUC